AAAAUCCUGGGUACUUUUCUGUUCAGUCCUGCCUGACGAUUAAAGUCUUCAGAACACUUCUGCGCGGGGCUAGACGCCAUCCACCCUGGUGCUGGGGGACACGGGCAGGGAUGUUUGCUGCUGCUGUGACAUCGGGUUGCCACGCCGGGCAGAACUCCGGGCUUUGGGUCACAAAGGGCCAAGCUCUGACCUCAUAAGGCACCGGUGCUAGUGACCUGCCCACAUCUCCGUUGAGAUGCUGUGCACGACCUGCGGGAAGGAGCCAAGGACCGUACACACCGCAGGGCCUCCCACCACCCACUGGCCCGGUAGAGACCAUUUUGGAAGAGCUGGAAUGAAUGGACUUGGAUGCAGCUGGUGACAUCUGCAGGGUUCAGAGGUACUUGGACCACAGAUUGUGCCUUGUCCCUGUCUCUGCCCUUUACAGAUGUUCAUUAAAAGAGUUUCAUGGGAAAACACAGCAUCACUCUCCAGGAGACAGCAGCUAGAACAUUUUAUCUUUGACUUUUGCAACUUCAACAAGUCCCUCGGGGAAGAGCACAAGCAAGUUUUAUUAAAAAUAAAAAACCCUCAUG